GUGGGGAAUAUUGGGCAAUGGGCGAAAGCCUGACCCAGCAACGCCGCGUGAAGGAAGAAGGUUUUCGGAUCGUAAACUUCUAUCCUUGGUGAAGAUAAUGACGGUAGCCAAGAAGGAAGCCCCGGCUAACUACGUGCCAGCAGCCGCGGUAAUACGUAGGGGGCAAGCGUUGUCCGGAAUGAUUGGGCGUAAAGGGCGCGUAGGCGGCCUGGUAAGUCUGGAGUGAAAGUCCUGCUUUUAAGGUGGGAAUUGCUUUGGAUACUGUCGGGCUUGAGUGCAGGAGAGGUAAGUGGAAUUCCCGGUGUAGCGGUGAAAUGCGUAGAGAUCGGGAGGAACACCAGUGGCGAAGGCGACUUACUGGACUGUAACUGACGCUGAGGCGCGAAAGUGUGGGGAGCAAACAGGAUUAGAAACCCUUGUAGUCC
rnacentral:rRNA from 1 species